GGCAAGGCAAAAGCCUUUUAGAAGGGAAUAGGUGCCACUUUUAUAGGGUUUCUAGAAACAAUGUGUUUUGUGGCUGAUUUGGGACUUCUAGAAGAGAAUGCUUCUAGAAAUAGGUUCUAGAAAUAUAUAUUUAGGUCCCCUUGCAGCUAGGAUUAAGGCAUGAUAAGAUUAGAAUAGGAUAAGAUAAGGUUAGUUUGGAUAAGAUAAGGUUGUAUAAGGUUUUGGAUAUGUUUCCUCUUUUGAGUUGAUUCCUUAUCUUCUUUGUCUUGAAUUUAAUUUCUUCAUCUUCUUAUCAUAUUCCUAGCCUUUUGAACUACAAAUUCGUCCAUUCCUUUUGCUCCAAGCAUGUGCUAUUCAUUCCAAGCCCAAUUUUGCUCCAAAAAGCUCCAAAAUGCAC
rnacentral:lncRNA from 1 species